UACGGAGGGUGCAAGCGUUAUCCGGAUUCACUGGGUUUAAAGGGUGCGUAGGUGGGCAGGUAAGUCAGUGGUGAAAUCUCCGGGCUUAACCCGGAAACUGCCGUUGAUACUAUUUGUCUUGAAUAUUGUGGAGGUAAGCGGAAUAUGUCAUGUAGCGGUGAAAUGCUUAGAUAUGACAUAGAACACCAAUUGCGAGGGCAGCUUACUACACAAUGAUUGACGCUGAGGCACGAAAGCGUGGGGAUCAAACAGG
rnacentral:rRNA from 1 species